rnacentral:pre_miRNA from 1 species
UUCCUACUUCCUCCGUCCAACAAAAGAUGUCUCAAGUUUGUUAAAAUUUGGAUGUAUCUAUACAUGACUUAGUGUAUAGAUGCAUUCAAAUUUAGUCAAAGUUGAGACAUUUUUUGUUGGACGGAGAAAGUACAAA